rnacentral:rRNA from 1 species
UACAGAGGGGGCAAGCGUUAUUCGGAAUUAUUGGGCGUAAAGGGCGCGUAGGCGGCAUUGCAAGUGGAAGGUGAAAUCCCUCGGCUUAACCGAGGAACUGCCCCUCCAAACUGCGUUCUUUGAGGCCGGGAGAGGUGAGUGGAAUUCCCAGUGUAGCGGUGAAAUGACGUAGAUAUUGGGAGGAACACCAGUGGCGAAGGCGGCUCACUGGACCGGUUCUGACGCUGAGGCGCGAAAAGCGUGGGGAGCAAACGGG